rnacentral:rRNA from 1 species
AUUGAACGCUGGCGGCAGGCUUAACACAUGCAAGUCGAGCGGGGGAAGGUAGCUUGCUACCGGACCUAGCGGCGGACGGGUGAGUAAUGCUUAGGAAUCUGCCUAUUAGUGGGGGACAACAUCUCGAAAGGGAUGCUAAUACCGCAUACGUCCUACGGGAGAAAGCAGGGGAUCUUCGGUCCUUGCGCUAAUAGAUGAGCCUAAGUCGGAUUAGCUAGUUGGUGGGGUAAAGGCCUACCAAGGCGACGAUCUGUAGCGGGUCUGAGAGGAUGAUCAGCCACACUGGGACUGAGACACGGCCCAGACUCCUACGGGAGGCAGCAGUGGGGAAUAUUGGACAAUGGGGGGAACCCUGAUCCAGCCAUGCCGCGUGUGUGAAGAAGGCCUUAUGGUUGUAAAGCACUUUAAGCGAGGAGGAGGCUACUCUAGUUAAUACCUAGGGAUAGUGGACGUUACUCGCAGAAUAAGCACCGGCUAACUCUGUGCCAGCCGCCGCUGUAA